GUUUGAUCAUGGCUCAGAACGUACGCUGGCGGCACGCCUAACACAUGCAAGUCGAACGAAGUAGCAAUACUUAGUGGCAGACGGGUGAGUAACAUGUAGGUAUCUGCCCUUUGGCCUGGAAUAACACGAGGAAACUUGUGCUAAUACCGGAUAAGUCUUUACGGAGAAAGCUUUAUGCACCAUUGGAUGAGCCUGCACUUGAUUAGUUUGUUGGUGGGGUAAUGGCCUACCAAGACUGUGAUCAAUAGCUGAUUUGAGAGGAUGAUCAGCCACAUUGGGACUGAGACACGGCCCAAACUCCUACGGGAGGCAGCAGUGGGGAAUCUUGCACAAUGGAGGAAACUCUGAUGCAGCGAUGCCGCGUGAGUGAAGAAGGCCUUUGGGUUGUAAAGCUCUUUCGUCGGGGAAGAAAAUGACUGUACCCGAAUAAGAAGGUCCGGCUAACUUCGUGCCAGCAGCCGCGGUAAUACGAAGGGACCUAGCGUAGUUCGGAAUUACUGGGCUUAAAGAGUUCGUAGGUGGUUGAAAAAGUUGGUGGUGAAAUCCCAGAGCUUAACUCUGGAACUGCCAUCAAAACUUUUCAGCUAGAGUAUGAUAGAGGAAAGCAGAAUUUCUAGUGUAGAGGUGAAAUUCGUAGAUAUUAGAAAGAAUACCAAUUGCGAAGGCAGCUUUCUGGAUCAUUACUGACACUGAGGAACGAAAGCAUGGGUAGCGAAGAGGAUUAGAUACCCUCGUAGUCCAUGCCGUAAACGAUGUGUGUUAGACGUUGGAAAUUUAUUUUCAGUGUCGCAGCGAAAGCGAUAAACACACCGCCUGGGGAGUACGACCGCAAGGUUAAAACUCAAAUGAAUUGACGGGGACCCGCACAAGUAGUGGAGCAUGUGGUUUAAUUCGAAGAUACGCGCAGAACCUUACCAACACUUGACAUGUUCGUCGCGACUUUAAGAGAUUAAAGUUUUCGGUUCGGCCGGACGAAACACAGGUGCUGCAUGGCUGUCGUCAGCUCGUGUCGUGAGAUGUUGGGUUAAGUCCCGCAACGAGCGCAACCCUCACUUUUAGUUGCCAUCAUUUAGUUGGGCACUCUGAAAGAACUGCCAGUGAUAAGCUGGAGGAAGGUGGGGAUGACGUCAAGUCCUCAUGGCCCUUACGUGUUGGGCUACACACGUGCUACAAUGGUAUCUACAACAGGAAGCAAAACUGCGAAGUUAAGCAAAUCCUUAAAAGAUACCUCAGUUCGGAUUGCACUCUGCAACUCGAGUGCAUGAAGCUGGAAUUACUAGUAAUCGUGGAUCAGCGUGCCACGGUGAAUGCGUUCCCGGGUCUUGUACACACCGCCCGUCACACCAUGGGAGUUGGUUCUACCUUAAGGCAAGGUUUUAAACCCUUGACCACGGUAUAGUCAGCGACUGGGGUGAAGUCAUAACAAGGUAGCCGUA
rnacentral:rRNA from 1 species